GACGAACGCUGGCGGCGUGCCUAAUACAUGCAAGUCGAACGCAGUGGGGACGGGUGCGUAACACGUGGGUAACCUCCCAUCAGAGGGGAUAACACUUGGAAACAGGUGCUAAACCGAUACUGAUGGAGGAACCCGCGGUUCAUUACCUAGUUGGUGAGGUAACGGCUCAACAAGGCCACGAUGCAUAGCCUGCCCACGAGGGGGAGCGGCAACACUGGGAAGGAGAACCGGCCCAGACUCCUCCGGGAGGCAGCAGUAGUGAAUCUUCGGGAAUGGACGAAAGUCUGACCGAGCAACGCCGAGUGAGUUAAGAAGGUUUUCGGAUCGUAAAACUCUGUUGUUAGAGAAGCGGGAUCUAACCAGAAAGCCACGGCUAACUACGUGCCAGCCGCCGCGGUAAUUC
rnacentral:rRNA from 1 species